rnacentral:lncRNA from 1 species
UCCACAAUGUCUUGUAGUAACAAAAAACCCGACAUAAUGUAUUGCAGAACUGCUUGUGCCACAUAUUUAAUUGAUACCUCUUUGUAUCCCUUCAAAAGUAUUCUUGCCAACCACUAGUUAACAUGACCAUUUAGCCGAUAUUGUACAAAGGAAGACACUUUCAUCUUAGAAGCUCAAUUUUUUUAUUGUAGUCCUAAGUAUAUCUCCAUACCUCAUUCUGUCAUAAUGUCGAGCACUCU